rnacentral:rRNA from 1 species
GUAGGUGGCAAGCGUUGUCCGGAAUUAUUGGGCGUAAAGCGCGCGCAGGCGGUCCUUUAAGUCUGAUGUGAAAGCCCACGGCUCAACCGUGGAGGGUCAUUGGAAACGGGGGGACUUGAGUACAGAAGAGGAAAGCGGAAUUCCAAGUGUAGCGGUGAAAUGCGUAGAGAUUUGGAGGAACACCAGUGGCGAAGGCGGCUUUCUGGUCUGUAACUGACGCUGAGGCGCGAAAGCGUGGGGAGCAAACAGGAUUAGAUACCCUGGUAGUCCACGCCGUAAACGAUGAGUGCUAAGUGUUAGGGGGUUUCCCGCCCCCUUAGUGCUGCAGCUAACGCAUUAAGCACUCCGCCUGGGGAGUACGGCCGCAAGGCUG